rnacentral:misc_RNA from 1 species
GAAAUGCGAUAAGUAAUGUGAAUUGCAGAAUUCCGUGAAUCAUCGAAUCUUUGAACGCACAUUGCGCCCUCUGGUAUUCCGGGGGGCAUGCCUGUCCGAGCGUCAUUGCGAACCACUCAAGCACGGCUUGUGUGAUGGGCCCUCCCGCGUCUUGGUCGUCAAGACGGGCCCGAAAAGCAGUGGCGGCUUCGCGGUUAUCCGAUCAGCCAGAGCGUAUGGGGACUUUCUCUCUGUCACACGCCCGCGGCGCGGACCGACGCCUGUCGACCUUUAUUCAUCUUUUUCUCGGUUGACCUCGGAUCAGGUAGGGAUACCCGCUGAACUUAAGC